rnacentral:rRNA from 1 species
UACGAAGGGGGCUAGCGUUGCUCGGAAUCACUGGGCGUAAAGGGUGCGUAGGCGGGUCUUUAAGUCAGGGGUGAAAUCCUGGAGCUCAACUCCAGAACUGCCUUUGAUACUGAGGAUCUUGAGUACGGGAGAGGUGAGUGGAACUGCGAGUGUAGAGGUGAAAUUCGUAGAUAUUAGGAAGAACACCAGUGGCGAAGGCGGCUCACUGGCCCGGAACUGACGCUGAGGUACGAAAGCGUGGGGAGCAAACAGG